ACCAGGUGCAGUUGUGCACACCUGUAGCCCCAGCUACAUAGGAGGCUGUGGCAGGAGGAUCGCUUGAGUACAGGAGCUCUGGGCUGUAGUGCACUAUGCUGAUCAGGUGUCUGCACCAAGUUUGGCAUCAAUACGGUGACCACGCCUGUGAAUAGCCACUAUACUCUAGUCUGGGCAACAUGGCUAGACUCUGUUUCAA
rnacentral:SRP_RNA from 1 species